rnacentral:rRNA from 1 species
AGUAAGGUGAGAAUCCUUACGGCCGAAUAUCCGAGGUUUCCAGAGUAAAGCUGAUCUGCUCUGGGUAAGUCGGGACCUAAGGCGAGGUCGAAAGACGUAGCUGAUGGACAACAGGUUGAAAUUCCUGUACUACGGUAUGAAAGAAAUGUGGGGACGCAUGUGGAGAGCAUGAGCCGGGAAAGGAAAGACCGGUGCAAGCGGGACAGUAGCCAUGCAGGCAAAUCCGUGUGGCAAUACGAAGACGUGACGCGGACCGAAAUAAAGUAGGGAAGCAUGUGAGCCAUGUGCCAAGAAGAGCCGCUAUAGAUCAUACCGUACCCGUACCGUAAACCGACACAGGUAGAUGAGGAGAGAAUCCUAAGGCCGACGGGAGAAGCAUUGUUAAGGAACUCGGCAAAAUGACCCCGUAACUUCGGGAGAAGGGGUGCCCACGCGAGUGGGCCGCAGAGAAUAGGCUCAAGCAACUGUUUAGCAAAAACACAGGUCUAUGCGAAACCGAAAGGUGAGGUAUAUGGGCUGACGCCUGCCCGGUGCUGGAAGGUUAAGAGGAGGAGUCAGGCAACGAAGCUCCGAAUUUAAGCCCCAGUAACGGCGGCCGUAACAAUAACGGUCCUAAGGUAGCGAAAUUCCUUGUCGGGUAAGUUCCGACCCGCACGAAAGGCGUAAUGAUUUGAGCACUGUCUCGACAAUGCACCCGGUGAAAUUGAAGUACCAGUGAAGAUGCUGGUUACCUGCGCCAGGACGGAAAGACCCCAUGGAGCUUUACUCCAGUUUGAUACUGGGAUUCGAUACUGAAUGUACAGGAUAGGUGGGAGGCUGAGAAGCGUGGACGCCAGUCUGCGGUGAGCCGCUGUUGGGAUACCACCCUUUGAGUAUUGGAUUUCUAACCUGCGCCCGUGACCCGGGCGGGGGACAAUGUCUGACGGGGAGUUUGACUGGGGCGGUCGCCUCCGAAAGGGUAUCGGAGGCGCUCAAAGGUUCCCUCAGAAUGGUUGGAAACCAUUCGCAGAGUGCAAAGGCAGAAGGGAGCUUGACUGUGACACCGACGGGUGGAGCAGGUACGAAAGUAGGACUUAGUGAUCCGGUGGUAUGAAAGUGGGAUUGCCAUCGCUCAACGGAUAAAAGCUACCCUGGGAUAACAGGCUUAUCACUCCCAAGAGUUCACAUCGACGGAGUGGUUUGGCACCUCGAUGUCGGCUCAUCGCAUCCUGGGGCUGUAGCAGGUCCCAAGGGUUGGGCUGUUCGCCCAUUAAAGCGGUACGCGAGCUGGGUUCAGAACGUCGUGAGACAGUUCGGUCCCUAUCCGGCGCAGGCGUAGGAUAUUUGAGAGGAGCUGUCCUUAGUACGAGAGGACCGGGAUGGACAGACCGCUGGUGUAUCUGUUGGUGACCAACACCAUGGCAGAGUAGCCAAGUCUGGCAGGGAUAAACGCUGAAGGCAUCUAAGCGUGAAGCCCCCCUCAAGAUGAGAUAUCCCAAUAAGUAAGACCCCUUAGAGAGUAUGAGGUAGAUAGGCUUAAGGUGUAAGCAUAGUAAUAUGUUCAGCUGAUAAGUACUAAUAGGUCGAGGGCUUAUCU